rnacentral:lncRNA from 1 species
CGUGAGGACACAGCGAGAAGGCAUCUGCUAUGAACCAGGAGGAGAGCCCUCACCAGAAGGUGAUGGCGAUGGCACCUUCAUCUUGGACUUGCAGCCUCUAGAACUAGGGAAUCCACAUUUCAUCACAAAGGCAGAACAAAACAUCCAUGUUUUCGUUAUCCGGGAGCAAGUCAUGUCGUGGAAAGCAUCAGAAUAUGGUGGACACGUAACCCAUCAGAGGAAGCCCAAAGUUCUCGGUGCCCGGUGUCUCCUGUCCCAGAAGCCCAUACCAGCAAAUCACCUACUCGUGGUUGGAUGAAGGCACUGCACAAGAGACACAUAAAUCAGUUCAUAAAAAAAAGGAUGAGAAUUUUCCAGGAGAAGAAACUAUGGAUAUUAAUGAAAGCCCUGUGGGAAGCCUCACUCUAGCUCGUCUGCCUCCAAAAGAUCAGUGAGCAAGACCUCACAGGUGGACAAAGGACCCUGCAAGACAAAUUGCUCACGUUUGGCAUAAGGCAUUUUGUUUUCAAAGUUCAUUAAAAUUGGAAAUGAGCUAACUAUGAGGUAUUGAGGAAGUGAAGUCAAGCGUCCUAGAAUUUUUUCAAGCCAUAAUGAUGAAUCAGUAACAAAGUCAGAAUCUUGACUUAUGUCACGGAAAGCUCCUGCACCCACUUCAGUUCUGC